rnacentral:pre_miRNA from 1 species
GCAGGCAUCUUCUCAGCCUACAUGUAGAUUGUCAAAUCUGCAGGCUGGUUAGAUGGUUGUC